GCGCGGAAGAUGUAACGGGGCUAAGUUGUAAACCGAAGCUGCGGCAAUGUUCUAUGAACAUUGGGUAGGGGAGCGUUCUGUAAGCCGUUGAAGGUGUGUUGUAAAGCAUGCUGGAGGUAUCAGAAGUGCGAAUGCUGACAUGAGUAACGACAAGGGGGGUGAAAAACCUCCCCGCCGGAAGACCAAGGGUUCCUGUCCAACGUUAAUCGGGGCAGGGGAAGUCGACCCCUAAGGCGAGGCUGAAAAGCGGAGUCGAUGGGAAACGGGUUAAUAUUCCCGUACUUCUUACAAUUGCGAUGGGGGGACGGAGAAGGCUAGGUGGGCCUGGCGACGGUUGUCCAGGUUCAAGUGCGUAGGCUGAGUGUUUAGGUAAAUCCGGAUACUCUUAAGGCUGAGACACGACGUCGAGCUACUACGGUAGUGAAGUCAUUGAUGCCAUGCUUCCAGGAAAAGCCUCUAAGCUUCAGAUUGUAAGGAAUCGUACCCCAAACCGACACAGGUGGUCGGGUAGAGAAUACCAAGGCGCUUGAGAGAACUCGGGUGAAGGAACUAGGCAAAAUGGUACCGUAACUUCGGGAGAAGGUACGCUCUUGAUGGUGAAGUCCCUUGCGGAUGGAGCUGACGAGAGUCGCAGAUACCAGGUGGCUGCAACUGUUUAUUAAAAACACAGCACUGUGCAAAAUCGUAAGAUGACGUAUACGGUGUGACGCCUGCCCGGUGCCGGAAGG
rnacentral:rRNA from 1 species